rnacentral:rRNA from 1 species
GACGUAGGGUGCGAGCGUUGUCCGGAUUUAUUGGGCGUAAAGAGCUCGUAGGCGGUUUGUCGCGUCGACUGUGAAAACCCGAGGCUUAACCUCGGGCCUGCAGUCGAUACGGGCAGACUAGAGUUCGGUAGGGGAGACUGGAAUUCCUGGUGUAGCGGUGAAAUGCGCAGAUAUCAGGAGGAACACCGGUGGCGAAGGCGGGUCUCUGGGCCGAUACUGACGCUGAGGAGCGAAAGCGUGGGGAGCGAACAGG